CUGUAAAUAGGGCAAGUGCAAUAUGAGCGUGCAAACCCCCCACUGUGUGUCCAAUAUGGCCUCCAGCGUGCAUUGAGCUGGUUAAUAAUGCAGGCUGAGGACCUGCAAGCAAUCAGCUUAACACAGUGCUGCCACAGGGACGUUCACAUUGAUCAGCACAGAAACAGACAUCCUGACUAUCAUCACCACGAAGCACAGCGCUACCACAAGCUGAAAGAGGCUAUUAUGUGAAACCCGAGCCAUCCUCUUCCUCUGCUGCCUCUCUUAUACGCUCUGACUACCAAUGCCCUCUGAUUCUGCCAGACAAGGAGAGAGACGGUGGGUCACCGAGCUCACCCACUUGUCCUCGCAAGUGCAAAUGCUCACUCACCAUGAACGCUGCAGUUCCUCACAGAUGGACAAUCCUCCGGUGGGGGUUCGUUUUCCAAAACCCUAGCCUAGCGUCAUUGCUGCUCCCGAGGGCUCACUCCUGGCAACAGGGCACCCAGGAGCGAGAAGACGAGGAGGAGGUGAAAGAGGAGGGCAGAGGGACAGUCAAGCGGCCGACAGAGGGACACACCCCGCAUUGGAAGCGAUGCAGCAGCAGCAUGAUACCCCUCUAUCACCCCCCAUCUCUCUCUCUCUCUCUCUCUGUGAGCAGUGACGGUACACUGAUCGGCUCUGCAUCAGGUCUAUUGCUGCUGCUGGUGUGUGUGUGUGUGUGUCUGUGUGUCAGCAAAUCAGCACCGCCGUGUGUUAUUAGUCACCAUCGCUGCACUGAAAGGAGCUCUGCGCUCCGCUGUGCCCUGGCAGUCGUUCUAAUCAACCCCAGAGUAAUGGAUCAGGUUUCAGCCACUCAGCCUUCUGCUCUCUUAAUCCAGUCGAGACUCAACAAGAAGCUGCAGCUCAAGUGCCGAUGCGAGUUAUACAUUGUGUGCUCUGGGAGAACUGUCACCCUUGUUCCUCACUAUACAUAGAUGCAGUGGCUGCCUGACAACGUAGCAGUCAGACCUGUAGAUGUACAGCUUUAACCAGAAGCCAAUAUUACCCGUUUAUGAGCUGUAAAAGUUUAUUAAUUUUAUUUUUUAAUAUUCCAUACUCUACCAAGAUGUGACCUAGGGUUGUACCGACCAUUUGUUUUACAUUCUACGCUUCUAUUGAGGGUUUCCAAUGACGCUUUGAAUGUCUGCCUGCUCGAAUAAAGAGAUUCAAUCUGAUUAAAUUAGUUUGACUUUUUGUUAAGUACAAGCAGGACAAGUUGGAUUUGUCUGUUGCUGUUUAACAGAUUCAAAGUUGGAGUUUUAGAGAGAGAGGGUGCAGCGGUGGUCAAGUGAACUAGAGAGUGAAUUGAGAGAAGGAGCACAGGUAGUGAGAACAAAGCAGGGAAUCAGAGAAAUAAAAAGGUAUUUUCUGUUUGGAUUUUUUAAAUGAUUUUUGCAUUCAUGUGACAAAUUAUAUGUUUGUUUGUUUUUGGCUAACCUAGUAAAUAAAAUACUUGACAAACAGUU